GGGGACGUAGCUCAGCUGGGAGAGCGCUGCCUCGGCAUGGCAGAGGUCACGGGUUCGAGCCCCGUCGUCUCCA
rnacentral:tRNA from 1 species